CCUACGGGGGAGCAGCAGUGGGGAAUAUUGGACAAUGGGGGCAACCCUGAUCCAGCCAUGCCGCGUGUGUGAAGAAGGCCCUCGGGUUGUAAAGCACUUUCAGUGAGGAAGAACGCCUGGUGGUUAAUACCCAUCAGGAAAGACAUCACUCACAGAAGAAGCACCGGCUAACUCCGUGCCAGCAGCCGCGGUAAUACGGAGGGUGCGAGCGUUAAUCGGAAUUACUGGGCGUAAAGCGCGCGUAGGUGGCUUGAUAAGCCGGUUGUGAAAGCCCCGGGCUCAACCUGGGAACGGCAUCCGGAACUGUCAAGCUAGAGUGCAGGAGAGGAAGGUAGAAUUCCCGGUGUAGCGGUGAAAUGCGUAGAGAUCGGGAGGAAUACCAGUGGCGAAGGCGGCCUUCUGGACUGACACUGACACUGAGGUGCGAAAGCGUGGGUAGCAAACAGGAUUAGAUACCCCAGUAGUC
rnacentral:rRNA from 1 species